AUAUGGGAAGUUUACUUUCUGUAUUACAGCUAACGCGUUAAACAUUCCGCCUGGGGACUACGGUCGCAAGAUUAAAACUCAAAGGAAUUGACGGGGACCCGCACAAGCGGUGGAGCAUGUGGUUUAAUUCGAUGCAACGCGAAAAACCUUACCACUUCUUGACAUGGAAAUCAUACCUAUUCGAAGGGAUAGGGUCGGUUCGGCCGGAUUUUACACAAGUGUUGCAUGGCUGUCGUCAGCUCGUGUCGUGAGAUGUUGGGUUAAGUCCCG
rnacentral:rRNA from 1 species